UACAGAGGUGGCAAGCGUUGUUCGGAAUUACUGGGCGUAAAGGGCGCGUAGGCGGUCCCGUCAGUCCCUUGUGAAAUCCCCCGGCUCAACUGGGGAACUGCAAGGGAUACAGCGGGGCUUGAGUUCGGGAGAGGGAAGCGGAAUUCCUAGUGUAGCGGUGAAAUGCGCAGACAUUAGGAAGAACACCGGUGGCGAAGGCGGCUCUCUGGAACGGUACUGACGCUGAGACGCGAAAGCGUGGGGAGCGAACAGG
rnacentral:rRNA from 1 species